rnacentral:rRNA from 1 species
CACCAGACUCCUACGGGAGGCAGCAGUGGGGGAUGUUGCACAAUGGGGGGAACCCUGAUGCAGCGACGCCGCGUGGGUGAAGAAGCGCCUCGGCGCGUAAAGCCCUGUCAGCAGGGAAGAAAAUGACGGUACCUGAAGAAGAAGCCUCGGCUAACUACGUGCCAGCAGCCGCGGUAAUACGUAGGGGGCAAGCGUUAUCCGGAUUUACUGGGUGGAAAGGGGGCGCAGGCGGCGGUGCAAGCCAGGGGUGAAAGCCCGGGGCCCAACCCCGGGACGGCUCUUGGAACUGCGUGGCUGGAGUGGAGGGGGGGAAGGCGGAAUUCCUGGGGUGGCGGUGAAAUGCGUGGAUAUCAGGAGGAAC